AGUGAACGCUGGCGGUAGGCCUAACACAUGCCAGUCGAACGGCAGCACAGUAAGAGCUUGCUCUUACGGGUGGCGAGUGGCGGACGGGUGAGGAAUACAUCGGAAUCUACUUUUUCGUGGGGGAUAACGUAGGGAAACUUACGCUAAUACCGCAUACGACCUACGGGUGAAAGCAGGGGAUCUUCGGACCUUGCGCGAUUGAAUGAGCCGAUGUCGGAUUAGCUAGUUGGCGGGGUAAAGGCCCACCAAGGCGACGAUCCGUAGCUGGUGUGAGAGGAUGAUCAGCCACACUGGAACUGAGACACGGUCAAGACGACUACGGGAGGCAGCAGUGGGGAAUAUGGGACAAUGGGCGCAAGCAUGAUCCAGCCAUACCGCGUGGGUGAAGACGGCCUUGCGGUUGUAAAGCCCUUUUGUUGGGAAAGAAAAGCAGCAGGUUAAUACCCCGCUGUUCUGACGGUACCCAAAGAAUAAGCACCGGCUAACUUCGUG
rnacentral:rRNA from 1 species